GAUAAUUUAUUCUGCAUUAUCUUAGUCAUAAUAUUUCUUACUGGGCUAGUUGAGCUCACCCUUUCUUUCACUGUUCUCUUCAGGAAAUGAGAACGUAGCUGGGACGAGUCGGGGAACGGAGUGAUGGUCCGGAUGAUAGUAUUAGCUAGUAGUCCUCACUAUUCUGUUAAAUAGUGUGACAAUAAAUGUAAUGAGGACUUAUUCUGAGAGUGGAUAUUGUCUAGAAGACAGUAUUUAUAUUUAAACUCACAGCUCUUUUGUUGUAUAAUUAAGAUUGUAUUUAUAUUCUGUACCAUGUAUUUGGCGACUCAGAAUAGGUGAUGUAUACCUAUUUUGGGGGCGUCACAUCACUUAUUUUCUUAAUAUACAAUUUAUUACACACAAUCAUACCAUUUGAUAUAUCAUAAUGGUCUUAAGGAACAUGUCAAAACAUAACUCAUCAUACACAAGAUACUAUGAUGAUCUAAAGUUCAACGAUCACUUGUACUACUAUCACUACAGGAAUUCCUAUUGACAGACAAGUAAAGCUCCAUAAGGUAUUCUUUAGCGAGACACGUUCAAUGAACUUAUUCUCCAAUAUGCACUUAUAUACUUAUUUAGUGUCUCCAUACAAAUGAUCAUGAGAUCAAUCAUCCUUAUCCAAUGAACAAGCAACAUAUGUACCAAUCUAUCCAGAUUUACUAAUCCCCUUUUCAGUAAUCCAACGAUUGAGAACAAUUUUAAUUUUAAGUUAUCUUAGAAUUUAGAUCUCAUUAUCAUGAUCAUCAUCAUGAUUAUAAAAACAUUGCUUAAAACUAUGAGUUUAUCACAUAUUAUAAAAAUAGCACCAUGUAGAUAAUUAAAUGUCUUUUAAAUAAUUUUUUUUAUUAAUAAAUGAAUAAGAUUGUUACAAAGUAUAUGUUUUAUCAUCAAACAAGAUUGGCUUGUGUGCAUAUUACUUUCGCUUCAGAUCUUUCCUUUUUUCUUCCAUUUUUUUUCCUUCAUUCUUGGUCCAAUAUCAUCUCCAUCACUUUGAAUUACCUCAUUCCCUAUACUUUCUUUUGCCAGAUAACAUUCCUCUAUCGCAUUUGGAAACCUGGUGGUUUCGAACACAUUGAACUUAAUCUUUUGAUUAUUAAAUCUCAUAGCGAGUUCCCCGUUCUGAACAUCUAUUAAAGUUCUCCCGGUUGCUAAGAAGGGUCCGCCAAGAAUGAGUGGGACCUCCUGAUCUUCUUCACAAUCGAGAAUGAAUAAGUUAAUUGGGAAUACAAAUAUUAUCCACCUUUACUAAAACAUCUUGAUCAACAACACCUCUUGGAUAUGUGAUUGAUCAAUCUGCUAAUUGCAGAGUUAUGUUCGUUGGCUUAAACCCUUUUAAUAUGAGCUUUUCGUAGAUAAAUAGGGGCAUGAGAUUGAUGUUCUCCCUAAUAUCACAUAGAGCUUUCACAAAAAAUUAUUUUUCGAUGGUACAUAGUAUCGUGAAACUCUCAGGAUCUUGCAUCUUUAUAGGUAAUUUCUUCUAAAUCACAUCACUGCAUUCCUCGAUCAAUGCAACCAUAUCAUUCUCACAUAUCCUUCUCUUUUUCAAAAAAAUAUCUUUCAUGAAUUUCACGUAACUAGGCAUUUGUUCUAGUGUUUCUUCAAAAGGUAUAUUGAUUUGUAGCUUUUGAAAACUUCUAAAAACUUUAAAAUUGCUGAUCCAAUUUAUGAUUCUUUAGAUGUUACGGAUAUGGCACAAACGGUAUUUUUGCAUCUUGCUUAACUUCCUUUUUGCUUCAAUUUUACUCCUUCAUUCUUAUUCUCAUCAUUCUUGCUUAAGUCAAUUGCAACAUCUUCUUCCUUUUUUGUGUUCAUUUAAUUUAUCUGCGGGCAUAAUAUCAUCACCUUGCAAACUCUUGUAGCACCUCAGAGUAAUUUCCUUACAAUACUCAUGAUUUUCUUUUCUUGGAUUUACUUCAGUAUCACUUCAGAGUGUUCCUUGUGGACGGUUAUCCACCGCAUUUUCCAGCUGACCUAUCUGAGUUUCCAUGUUCUGAAUUGAUCCUUCUAAGCUAUUGAUUUUUGUAUCAUUUUGAGCAAUGUAUUUUUUCAAUAUUUCUUCUAUGCUCGAUUUCCUUUCUUACUGGUGUUGAGUUUGAUUUUGAAAACCCGGUAGCAGGAAUUAAGUUGGAGCUGAAUUUUGAUUUUGAUUAUUGCUCCAUGAGAAAUUCGGAUGGUUCCUCCACCUCGGAUUAUACUUAUUAGAAUACAUGCCCUGCUUUUUUGCAAUGAAGUUCAUUAUUUUUGGAUUAAUUGCACAUUGACUUGUUUGGUGAUUCCAUGCAUAUAACUCACAUACUGUAGCUAACUGUUAAGUUGGUGGUGUACCCCAUGUAUCAAAUUUCUUUCUCAAUUACACUACUUGUGCAUCUAAUGUAGUUAAGGCAUCAACAUCAAAUUUUCCUCCGACUUUUGGUUGGUUCAUGCUAGUUGUAGGACACUAAUAGUUAUUUGCAGCCAUAGUUUUCAACAAAUCAUAAGUUUCAUCAACAUUUUUAUCCAUCAAGGCUCCUCCUACAGUUGCGUCAAUAUUCGUAUGUGUGAUGUUGAAUAACCCAUUGUAAAAAGUCUAAAAUUGAAUCCAUUUAGGAAGUCUGUGAUGUGAAAAUCUCCUUCGCAUAUCUUUAAACCAUUCGCAAGCCUCAUACGACGAAUCAGAAUCUUUUUGAUUAAAUGAUGAAAUAUCGUUCCUCAUUUUUGCCAUUUUAAGCAGGCGGAAAGAACUUUGCUAAAAUCUUCUGAGCUCGGUCAUCCCACGGCGUGAUUGAACCUGUCAGUAACGAAUGAAAAUAACUAUUUGCCUUGUCAUGAAGUACUUAAGAGUCUCAAUCUCACCGCAUCAUCUGAAACUCCGUUGUACUUAAAAGUAUCACAUAUCUCCAAGAAACUAAUAAGAUGGUCAUUCGGAUCACCAAACUGAACUGAAUUUUAAAUCAUUUGUAUCGUCCAUGGUUUGAUCUCAAAAUUGUUUGCAUGAAUUGUCGGCCUUUGAAUACUUGAAUGAAUCUCUAUCACUUGUGGCAUAUCAUAAUCCUUAAUAGAUUUUUGUUCCUUUUCGGCUACCAUUCUCCUUUAUGUCUUUGCAAUACUUAAGCAACCGUUGAAAUCCUUUUUCAAUAUCGUCCUCGUACAACAAUAAUGCUGGUUGUUUUUGACCGCGUUUACAUACACAAGUCAAAAGCACCUGCAACAAGAAACAAAAUAUGUAAAACAAAAAUACAAUCCACAUUAAAACUAACUGAUGGAAAUUAAUAUUAGCAAAUUAUAUAAGCUAUUAAACAACUCUCUGGCAAUGACGCCAAAAACUUGUUUGCCUAAAACACUACUACCAAUUACAUGCAAGUAUACGAUCACUUAUGCAAUAUAGUGACAAAUAGAGUAUCGUUCCCACGAAGAGCGAAGAAUAAAUUGAAAUACUAAUUACUAAAUAUGCACCAUUUUAAUUGUAUUUAGAAAAAUAAAUUUACUAUUGAAAUGGAUAAAUAUUGAGAUAUAUAAUAUUAUUUUAAUGAAUCAAUUUCCUCCGUUGAAAAAUUUAAUUAAAAAUAUUCUUAUUUCACUAAAUUUAUUAUCAAGAAUUGCCAGUGAAAAAUCACUAAUAAUUUAUAUAAUCAUUUUUCAAAUAAUUAUAUAACAUACUUAUUAUUAUUAAUUUCACUAUAUUUCUAUGAGAAACAAUAAUAAUAAAUUCAUUAAGAUUCAUUUUCCACCCUUUACUUGUGGUAUUCAGGUAUAGUCUUAUCCCGUCUACAAAUUAGCAUUCACUCCUAGGAAGAAUUACUAAUCACAAGUUAUUACGUCUAGAUCUUAAUUUAGAAUCCAAUGUCAAAUUUCAUCUAAAUUCAAAGAAUAAUUGUUGAUCAUGCAAUUAUAAUAAUUAUAAUAAUAAACACAGGACAUAAUAAACAUUUUCAUUCCAUAAUCAAUUUAAAUAAAAAUAAGAAUAAAUAUUAAAUUAAAUCAUCAUUAGGUUCCAUUGAAUCCUUAACUAAUAAUUUAGUUCAUAAUAAAAGUUAAAAACAUGAAUAGUUUAUCAAAGCCAUCCUAAAAUACAAGAUAUAAGAGUUAAAAGAAGAAAGAAUAAAACUCUGAACAAUUCGGUCCUCCUUUCCCUGCUCUCUCUUGCUUAAGGAAAUACUCUCUGAUAACUCUUAUUCUCUGCUACAUACUGAUAAUAAUGAAUUAUUCCCUGAAAAGUAAUUCCCAAUUAUUAGUCUUUUAAUAACUAUUUGAUAAUAAGACUUCAACCCGUAUACAAUAAGUGUAAACCAAUCACAAUGUCAGCCUUAGGAGUUUGAGACCACCUUGACUUCAAUUAUCAAGCGUCAAAUAAAAUCUUGAAUCAAAUAAUCAAAAUAAUUAACCUUCAAAAUUUGUCGGGCGCGAGUCCAACAAGGGCUUGCCAACAUCCCUCUAGCGAUGCCACUUUAACAAUAAGCGUCGGGACUAUUGGAGUACUAAAGGCGAGCGUCGCGACUCAAACUAAAUGGCAACACGACUCUUGAGUUCUUGGUCACUUCCUCUUGACUCAUUUACGCGUCAGUUUUGCCCAAACAAUCUUUCUAACCUGUAGCUUAUAUUAAGGCUAAACUUUAAAAUAAUUCACAUCAUUUACACUAUCAUAGUCUGCAAUCAAUUAUCAACAUAGAACUACUAAAUUACAAUAAAAUAAUACUAAAACACUUAAGAAAUAAGUAAAAUAAUUAAGUCAAGACUAUCAAAUUCAUAAAUAUAAAAUCUACUCAUCAAUCAACCUAACAAUUUUGAUCUUUCUCUA
rnacentral:lncRNA from 1 species